rnacentral:rRNA from 1 species
GAUGAACGCUGGCGGCGUGCCUAAUACAUGCAAGUCGAGCGAACAGACGAGGCGCUUGCUCCUCUGACGUUAGCGGCGGACGGGUGAGUAACACGUGGAUAACCUACCUAUAAGACUGGGAUAACUUCGGGAAACCGGAGCUAAUACCGGAUAAUAUAUUGAACCGCAUGGUUCAAUAGUGAAAGACGGUUUUGCUGUCACUUAUAGAUGGAUCCGCGCCGCAUUAGCUAGUUGGUAAGGUAACGGCUUACCAAGGCGACGAUGCGUAGCCGACCUGAGAGGGUGAUCGGCCACACUGGAACUGAGACACGGUCCAGACUCCUACGGGAGGCAGCAGUAGGGAAUCGUCCGCAAUGGGCGAAAGCCUGACGGAGCAACGCCGCGUGAGUGAUGAAGGUCUUCGGAUCGUAAAACUCUGUUAUUAGUGAAGAACAAAUGUGUAAGUAACUAUGCACGUCUUGACGGUACCUAAUCAGAAAGCCACGGCUAACUACGUG